rnacentral:rRNA from 1 species
CCCUUAGAUGUUCUGGGCUGCACGCGCGCUACACUGAUGCACUCAACGAGUUUACGACCUUGCCCGAUAGGGUUGGGUAAUCUUUUUAAAAUGCAUCGUGAUGGGGAUAGAUUAUUGCAAUUAUUAAUCUUCAACGAGGAAUUCCUAGUAAGCGCGAGUCAUCAGCUCGUGCUGAUUACGUCCCUGCCCUUUGUACACACCGCCCGUCGCUCCUCCCGAUUGAGUGCUCAGGUGAAUAAUUCGGACUGCAGCAAUGUUUGGAUCCCGAACGUUGCAGCGGAAAGUUUAGUGAACCUUAUCACUUAGAGGAAGGAGAAGUCGUAACA